rnacentral:lncRNA from 1 species
AUGGACCUGUUAUAUUGUUAUGUAUUUUUGGUGUUGCUCCCCUUUCUCUAUGCUUGUGCAUAUGUGUCUGUGUGUAUGUGUCUCUGUGGGCGCCUUCAGGCCUGGUGGGUGUGGCCCUGCUGGCGGACUGGCCACACCCGAAGCCACACACCUGCUCCUGAUCAGGCCUCGUCGGGGGAGCUACUUAAGAGAGUCUUGGAGCUCCCACCGACGCGGGAUCAUUCCAUGAGACUCCACGAGAGGUGUGGAGAGCCAGACAGCAGCCAGCACGGGGAGUGCUGAGACACGGGAGCGGAGAGCACAAACACUGGGAGAAGACACGACACGGGAGUCUGGGGAAAGCACGGGGAUUUAUUGUUGUUGUUUCCAUCACUGUAAAUAAACGCACUGUUCGCACACAGAGCACCGCGCCUGGGUCCUCCUUCCUCACACCCCCCCACGGUCUGCCAUGCCGAACCGUGACAAUUAGAUAGUCAGUUUUGUGUGCUGCUCAGUAACAUUCAAUAUUUAUUACUGUUACUUAUGCUUAUCUAGGUUGUUGCCAUGGUUUCCCUGCAGCAUUGUUCUGUUUUUGCUUGAUUUCUUCUUUUUUUUCCAACAGGUGAUCUAGCGGGUUUUUAGUGUCUUUUUUCACUGUCCCUCUUCCCCUCUGUUUUUCUUUCCUUCUCCUUUUCUUGAACUUCUCUUGUUAGAUUAGAUUAGAUUAGAUAAAAAUUUUAUUAAUCCCUCGCGUGGGUUCCUCCGGGAAAUUCUGUUUCCAGUAGCACAGCACUGACAGAAAUGGCAAAAGAAUGUAAGCAGAAAUAGAAAUAUAUCAUAUAUACACAUAUACACAUAUAUAAAUACAGAGUAUAUAAUAGUGAUAGAGAAAAAUAUUGCACAGUGAAAAAAAGCACUACAGUUUAGUUGUCCUCACCCUCCUUUGUCCCACUGUCUCCCCUCCCUCUCCCCUCCAGCGUGGAGUUAAACAGUUUGAUGGCGUGUGGGACAAAGCAGUUUUUAAGUCUGUUGGUCCUUUACUUUGGGAGAAGCAACCUGUCUCUGAACAGACUCCUCUGGUUGUUUAUGACCGUGUGCAGAGGAUGCCCAGCAUUGUCCAUAAUGUCCAGCAGUUUCUUUAAUGUCCUCUUCUCUGCCACUGUUACCAGGGUGUCCAGCUUCAUGCCGACCACAGAGCCAGCCUUCCUGAUUAGUUUUUCCAGCCUGGAUGAGUCCUCCUUUGCUGUGCUGCUCCCCCAGCACACCACAGCAUAGAACAGGACUCCAGCAACCACCAACUUGUGUAUGUCUUUCCCUUUCCUAUUCCCCGGUGAUGUCCGUUCUGAUGGCUUGUUAAACAUAAACUUAUUUAUUUAUUUUAAACUUAAAGAUUUAAAAUAAAAAAUAAAAAAUAAUAAACAUCAAUGAAGUGGACCAGUAUGGCAAAGCCGUAAUGAUGGGAAAAUAAAUCUGUUGGGCAUUUUUCUUGGCCUUCAGACAAUAAUUCUGAUUGGUACAAUGCUGAAUGGGGGAGGCAAAAAAGGAACAAGGACAGGCCCCUGGACAGCAUUUACCUGUACCCCUGGCAGAUAUCAAAAAUUCCUACCAGUGCCUGGACAAAGCUGGACUGAAAGACAGAACAGAGGCACUAAUCAUGGCAGCACAGGAACAAGCUCUGAGCACAAGACCCCAGGUGCAGGCUGUGUAAAGAUGUCCCUGAGAUAAUCCAGCACAUAACAGCAGGGUGCAAGAUGCUAGCAGGCAAGGCAUACAUGGAACGCCAUAACCAAGUGGGCGGCAUAGUGUACAGAAUCAUCUGUGCCGAGUAUAACCUGGAAGUCCCGAGGUCAAAAUGGGAGACGCCCCCAGUGGUGGUGGAGAAUGACCGAGCUAAGAUCCUGUGGUGAUGGCUAACCAGCUGGUGACAGCAACAUCCGGAAGAAGGAAGACAAAAACUCAAGAAAUAUGAGGGGCUGUGGGAGGAGCUAGAGAAGAUGGGGAGGGUGAAGACAACACUGGUCCAUGUGGUAAUGUAGUAGUUACAUAGUUACAUGUAAAACCUUUCUUACAGUUUUUUCUGAAUGCUUAAACCCUAACUGUGAUUCUUAUAGCACAAUUUCUAAAACUAUUAAAACUUAUAGCAAAACCAUUCACUGAGUUUGCAAAACUAAAAGCACAAACACUGCUUUGCACUCAGUUUGCCAUUUUGUAACACACACUUUGCAAACCUGUAGCUACAAUCCACUGCACAGCACUCUUUUUGCAGAACUGUAAACACAACUCACGGCUUUACACUCAAUUUGCAAAGGAUCAACACACUCCUAGCAAAACUAUACACAUUUAUGGCUAUUAUUUACACUAUUUUAUCAACUGUCUGGCACACUGUCACAUGUGAAAACUUUUUUAGAUAAUUAGUUCACUUUGCAAUCAGCCUAAGCACUAUAAUACAGGUAAGCUGUGUGUGUGGAGUACAGUGGAGGGAGCAGGAAGAGUGAGAAGUAGAGGAGGCCGAGGAAGAGGACGUGGAGGUGAAGAAGUAGGACGAAGAGGACGACAAGGACAAGGAGGAGCAAGAGGAGGACGAGGAGGGGGGAGAGGAAGGGUAAGAAGAGUAAGAAAUAGAAUUGCUGAUGACAUCAGAGCUACAACAGUGGACCAUGUAAUCAACCAUGGAGUGACCCUGAGGGAAGCUGGCCAACGGGUUCAGCCUAACUUGAGCCGCUACACUGUAGCAAGCAUCAUAAGGACAUUUUGAAAUGAGAGUCGGUUAGUACAGUCACUUUGCACUAAGAUCUGUAGCACUGCCAUGCUAAUGAGAAACACAACAAUACCAUAGAUGUAAAAUUCCAGAAGAUAUUUUCCCCUGUGCCUUGGACUAGAGCAGCGCUCCCCAACUCCCGGGCCUCGGACCGGUACCGGUCCGUGAGUCGUUUGGUACCGGGCCGCGAGAGUUGAGGCUCAGGUGUGAAAUGUAUGGUUUUCAGGGUUUUUAUCGGUUUUCAGCGUUAUUUUGUUAUCGUUUUUAUCGUUAACUCGCUUUUCCUGGGUCUUUUCACGUGUGUUAUGAAUAAAUCUUCUUUUUUUUGGUACCGGUACUAGUUUUAUUUUGUUGUGUUUAUCCGCGACACCUUAAAGGCCGGUCCGUGAAAAUAUUGUCUGGCAUAAACCGGUCUGUGGCACAAAAAAGGUUGGGGACCGCUGGACUAGAGGACAUUUCAUGUGAUGUAGACGAAAUUUUGUGGCCAGAUCCACAGAGAUGACACAAUGUAGACUGAUUUCUUUUUUUUCCUCAGUGAAAUUACUAUUUCGUUUUGACUUGGAAAUAAACACUUGUGUUUGUUUUGAUGUGUGUGAAUAAACACCAGUACUUGAAGUUUGGAUCCCUCUAUGCUUACGGAUCUAUGACAAAAGUAUGAGCUCAAUCUGACAUAGCCUACCUUGUGCACAGAGAAAGCAAAAGCCAGAUGUGUUUUUCAUUCAUACCAUCAGUGUGUAGUUGGUGCAUUGUGUGCUUAUUAAUUUGAUGGCUUGUGUUUACUGUCUGAUACAAAAAUACAAUUUUUACAAAGGUGUGGAGAGUUACAGUUUUUUCUGAUUGCUUAAGCACAUUUUUUGUAACUAUUGGCUAUUUUUGCAAAACUCUACACACAAAUAAGAAAACCUGUCACCCAAUUAUCAAAACAUUGUAGUUCUCUUGCAAAAGCGAACACAGCUAGAUUAACUCUUCACACCUUCGUAAAAAUGGUGUUUUCGUAUCAAACAGUACACACAAGCCAUCAUCUACUAAGCACACAAUGUGCCACCUGCACACUGAUGGUAUGAAUACAAAACACAUCUGGCUUUUGCUUUCUCUGUGUACAGAUGUCAAUUUGAGGUCACACUUUUGUCAUAGUGUCAUGUAAACAUACAAGGAUCCAAACUUCAAGUAUUGGUGUUUAUUCACACUCAUCAAAACCAAGACAAAGUCACAACACAGAAUAGGAAUUUCACAAAAAAAGGAAAAAAAAGACAGUCAGCCUACAUCAUGUCAUCUUUCUGGGUCCGGCCACAAAAUUUCGUCCACAUUGCAUGCGAUAUCCUCCAGUCCAAGGCACCGGGGAAAAUAUCUCCUUGAAUGCCGUAUCCAGGCCUGACAUGAUGCCUGGUCAAUAUCUCCACAUGUCUCCUCCAUUGCCUGUAAAAGGGCUACCUGUUGAUGAGGAUGACGGUCGUACACUUUCCAGCGCCAGGCAGAGAAGAACUCCUCGAUGGGAUUUAAGAAUGGAGAGUAUGGAGGGAGGUUGAGUGCCAUGAAGGAUGGGUGGUCUGUAAACCAGUUGCGGACCAAAGCAGCCCUAUGGAAACUAACAUUGUCCCAUAUGAUGACAUAUUGGGUCUGCUCUGGUCUCUGAACAGUGAGCAUGUCAUGCAAGGUGUCCAGGAAUGCAAUAAUGUGUGCAGUGUUGUAUGGGCCUAUGGUUGCAUGAUGGUGAACAACACCAU